UAACAUGAAACAUAUGUUUUAACACAUAAGCAAAAUUUGUAAGUUCAUCACUAAUACAAAUGCUCGAUAAGUAUAAUAUACUUACGUGCACAGUUUGUACAAUGCCUUGAUACUAUGUAAUUGACUGUACUUGUAACUUCUUACACACUAGUAUCCUUGCACAACCUAAAAUAAAUUAAUAAAACAUUACAAUGUUAUAGAUCAGGAAUGUUAUGACUCAGACACAUCUACCAGUGCUAACGGUUGUAUUCGGGCAAAAUUCCACGUAAAUCCGUGAGAGAGUUCGUAAUCUAGCCGUCGGACUUGUUAAACGUUUCACCAUUCGACCACAAACUGAUUCACGUUAUUUGUGUGUAACCAAUACAGAGAAUACGAAACGGUGAACCGUUUGCAGAUAGAUUAGAUGAACAGUUGGAAAGGAAGGUCCGUUUGACAGGAGCUGUCAAACGAGGCAGUAAACGAACAAAGGACGCUCCAGAUUUCAGCCGAUUAGAACGAUAGCGUACGCUCUACGAUGGACGUACAAAUGACAAGUUUAUACGCUCAAGCUUGGGAUCCGACGACGAAAAACUUGCGGUAGGGCCACCGUCUGUACUCUCCCACUCACUUUCUCGCUCUCUCUUUCUCUUACUCACUCCUGCGACGAGACACGAACUAUACGAGAGGGCGACGAUCGGACGAAACAGCUGUUGGUGGCGUCGAGAGAAGCGAAGAAACGUCAGAGAGCGAGUGAGAGGUACUACGCCAUAGCACGAACCUACGUGAAAAUCCGCGAAAAGUUGCCGUGGUGGGGCAUGACACGUAAAUUCCCCGGAGCUUCGAAUGCAACUAUCCGCAUACGCAAGGACGAUGGUCUCGUCGUUUCGUGAUACGAUUUUGAAGGGGGGAAAAUGCUAGCAGCGAGCGAGAGAAUGAGAAAUGGAAGUAAUGAAAGGAGUGGCGGAGGGUGAGAGGGGGAAGGAAAAAGAGGGAAGGAGAAAGAGCAAGAUGGUGGGUGGCAAGAUGGGGGAAGGGUAGAGAUGAGUACGAGCGAGAGUGAGAAAAGAGGGACGGGAAGAGGAGAGAGAGAGAGACAAACGCAGAAAAAGGAAAACAGAACAACGAUGCCAUCAUUAGUUUUAUCCCUUUUUAGUCAAUGGUCGUUGUCUUGAUCUUGCGCAUGAAGCGUAAGAGAAAAGGAGGCUCUCACCAAUCUCGCGUAUCUUCUACGUACUUGUUUGAGAUGAACGAUAAUGCUGUUUCAAGCGCAAACAACUAUGAUCCCCAACAAAUUCACAAGUUCCCUUAAGCAUACAGUUUAUGGAAAAGUAAACCACGGUAGCCCGAGCAACAUGGUAUAGUUCACCACGAACGUCACAAAGGAUUGAAUGAUUUGUCGCCAGAGGGGUUGCUAAAUACCCUGGACUGGUUACAGGGUAUACCUGGCUGAGUUUAACCUUAACUUUGUUCAAUAGAAGAAACUUUUCGACAGCUACCGUGCUUCGUCAAUCGCGUGCCACCACUCUCAACAAUUCUAACAUUAAAUACGUGUGUUCGUCGACUCAAAUUCCUCAGACCUUGUUUACUUACGUUACAACUUUUUCACUAACAAAUCUCUUUUCUGUACUGGGAAAUUUUUGUAGUCUUCAAGAUCUGGUCGCAUGCGCACCACGACUGCGCAGAAGCGGACGUUACAUACACUGGUAUUUAAAGAGAGGUGUACUCGCGAAGAAUUCUGAAAGCGCAUGUCAAACGGAGCUUCGAUUUUGUUACUGCACAUGUUAAAAUGUUUCUAUUCUACCUUUUUCGGUCAUUUUCAUUUAUUUAAGCUCGUAUACUACGUUGCAUAGACGUUAAUGGAAUUCUUUGUUACUAUAGGAUAGGUUAUACAACGAAUUUCUUUGGUCAAGGUUUCUUCUAUUUUACAUUUGCCGCGUAUCUGGAAAUAAUCGGUAACCGAUUUGGCAGUACUGCCAAUAGCUGAGAGUAAAUAUUUCCAACAUCGACGAAAAUAUAGGACAAUUCAUUGGACGAAAUUUAUGGCUUAAAAAUUUCAAUUAAAUUAAAAUGAAAUGUAUAAGACUGUGAUAUUAAAAUCCUUUUCUAGUCGAGAAUACGAAAUUUUCCAUGAAAGUUGACGUACUAUUAACUGCGUUGUAUUCUAGAAAAUUUAUGGAGUUUACCCUUAUUUUGUACUUUAUAAAUUAAAGACGAAUUACACUUCAUCUGGGUUAGUUAUAAACUACACAAUUUUACGCAAACUCAUAUUUUUAUAGGAAAAAAGAAUUACAUUUUGCACAAACAAUAAACUUUGUAUGCCAGAUUCUUUAAAAAGUUAUAAAGUGCACAAGAUUUUGUAAUCUAUGUAUAUUAAAUAUAUUGAUUGAUCAUA